rnacentral:rRNA from 1 species
GUGCCAGCAGCAGCGGUAAGACGUAGGGGGAGAGCGUUAAUCGGAAUCACUGGGCGUAAAGGGUGCGCGGGUGGCUUGCCAAGACCCCUGUAAAAUCCUACGGCCCAACCGUAGUUCUGCGGAGGUGACUGGCAAGCUUGAGUAUGGCAGAGGGGGGUAGAAUUCCAGGUGUAGCGGUGAAAUGCGUAGAGAUCUGGAGGAAUACCGAAGGCGAAGGCAACCCCCUGGGCCAUCACUGACACUGAGGCACGAAAGCGUGGGGAGCAAACAGGAUUAGAAACCCCGGUAGUCC